ensembl:lncRNA
UUUAACAUUUUUGUGCCUCUGCCUCCCCAUGGGCGAGUAAUGAGCGCUCCCACAGAGGUGUUGAGACAGCAAAUGGAAAACACCCAGCACACGGCCUGGCAAACAGGGUGGAGAGUGUUUGGUGAGGGCUGAGUCUGCAUCUGCCCUUCCUCCCCCACCUCCUCCCACCCCACCCCCACCACCUGAAGGGGCUCCUCGGGACCUGCCAGCGCCAGACGCACACCCCACAGAGCGGAGACGGAUUUGUUUUGAAAGGAUGUUGUUGGACGAGGCAGUUCCUCCCCAGCCCAGAAAUGACAGCUCUUUCAUCAGCAUUCCUGAUCACAGCCGGCCUCGCCCACAGCCGGCCUCCGUCCUGGGGCGGAAGGAUGGGUUCUCGGCAGCAGCCGGGGAAUGCCCGACGUCCGGCGCACGGGAACUCCGGGUGCACAUGUAUCAGGCCCCUGGGCUUUUGCAUCAACCCCGCCUCAGCUGCUCCUCAAAGAAGGAGCUACCCUGCAGAGCUGCUCCAGAGCGGGCGGAAGGACAUCCCUCUCUUUUGGUGAACACAAGGGCUUUAGAACGUGCACGCUCUCCAGGUGACCAGCCAGGUGAUCUGGAAGCAUCUCUCAUUCGACAUCUCCUGCUCUCAUCGGCAGGUGACUUUACUCGUCCACACUCCCUGAAGAAUGACCUUAUCUUAGGAGGAUUCCGUUUCCAAGUCUCUUUCAAAGUAAAGAACCUCCACCUUUUCCACCCCAGCCCGGGCAGCCAUGGGCACACAGCCACUCUCAGAACUGCUGUCCCCCGCAGGACGCACAUGUGAGAACAUAGGGACGCUGGACUCCCUCGGCCACAUAAAGAAGGAUUCAGACGCUUGCCCCCUUCCAGGGUCCCCAGGAAGGCAACAGCUGCAAGUGCAGAUGCUCACAGGUGUGCCCGUGGGUGAGGCCAAUGGUGACGCGAUUUUCCGAAAUGGUGACCAGCUCUUGGUUAACGUCCAAAUGAAACCAAGAACAGCCCUCCUCAAUUGACACGGUCGUUGCACUCCUGGAAAAUUCAGUGACUAUGAAAACUGGGGAGGAAGAGAAAAUUUGCAUUUAUAUGUAAAACGAAGUUCGAUUCUAGACAUAGAUCAUUUCAAGCAGGGUUUUCACCUACGUGAACAUCCAGUGAGACGUUGGACUGUUGUGUGGGAUGUGGGCUCAUUCUCGGUUGGAGGGGACUGGCCAGCACAUUGCAGGACGUCUAGCCCUCCUGCCCACUCCUGCCACCAGAUGCCAGUGGCGCCCACACACGGAAGUUAGCAGGACAAAUUUGCAACCCUAGUAGGGGUAAUCGUGCCCCCGGAGAACAAGGGGGUUAGUGAGUCAGGCCAUCCCCCUGCCCAGGUCUUGGCUCGUGCCGUGCCUCCCUCUCCUUCUCGAGGGAGCUCUGCUCUUCCCGCAGGUCUUUGAGUAUUUGUCAAUCUUCCAGGAAGCCCUCGGUGAGCCCAACAGGCGGGGUAAAUGCCUUUCUCUGCCCCCACAGCCCUACCCACCACACUUCAAAGCCUUGUUAACUGCCCAUCUCCCCCCAGGAAGCCGGGAGCCUUCACCCUUCACCAUCAAACCCCAGGUCAGCCUCAGCACCUGGCAUACAGUAGGCGCUCAAUAAAUGUCAAAGACGUGAAUCCUAGUAGUGGCUCCUGUUUCAGUGCUGUGCUCAUUCGGACCUCACAACAGCCCGGGGAGUAUUUGUAUUCCUAUGUUUCAGAUGAGGAAACUGAGGCUUGGAGAGGUCAGGUG